UACGGAGGGUGCAAGCGUUGUUCGGAAUCACUGGGCGUAAAGGGCGUGUAGGCGGCUUGUUAAGUCGGGUGUGAAAGCCCUGGGCUCAACCUAGGAACUGCAUUCGAAACUGACAGGCUGGAGUAUCGGAGAGGGUGGCGGAAUUCCCGGUGUAGAGGUGAAAUUCGUAGAGAUCGGGAGGAACACCAGUGGCGAAGGCGGCCACCUGGAAGAUAACUGACGCUGAGACGCGAAAGCGUGGGGAGCAAACAGG
rnacentral:rRNA from 1 species